AUUUCCCUUUCAUUAUUUGCAGUCGUUUCUCUCUUCUUUUCUAAUAGCUGAGCUCUGCAAAAAUGGUGAAUGACUGAAGAUUGAGAGAUUUCCAGUGAGUUUCAUCUCAAACAGAUCCGUAUAAGAUUACAUAGUUAGUGUGUGUUGUUUGAUUUAACUAUAGUGGUGUUUUUGUGAAGAUUGACAAGCUUAAAUCAGUAACUGGUUGUUGAAAUUGGGUGGUUUUCUUACAAGAGGAAGACACAAUGUUCGCAAACAUAAUGAGGAAGGAUGUAAAGAACCUAGUUAGGGUUUGCAGAGAAGAGAUGAUGCUGGUAAUAGAGAUCGAGCAGAUGAAAACCAUAAGAAAUUAGAGAUGGGUUUUUCUCAUUUGAAGAUUUAAAAGGGGUUAUGUGCGAAAUUGUUGGUAAUUUGAGUUUGAGAUGAAUUUAGGGUUCUUCUUGAGAUGCUGCUGAUUUAUGGAAGAUUGAGAAGCUGGUGCUGUUAGUGAAUUCAGAUGAAGGGAGAUGGGCUUAGAAGCUACAAGAAUCAGGGAAACAAUAAUGGUUGUUGAGCUGAGUUUGCAGUUGAGCAGGUGCAGUUGGAAGCUGAGGCCAAGAGCAAAAAUGGUUGUGAGCUGAGCUGGAUGUGGAUGUCAGUGAUUGAAGUCAACAGUGCCUGAUGUUUUUAAGUUGAUGUUGAUGCUGCCAAUAACGGUGCAGUGGUUGUGGAGACAAUGAAGCUGCAGUUCAGUGAGAUGGUGCAGAGUAGUGAUGAUAGAGUCUGUAAUGGUUUUGAGUAGUGGAUGUGUUGUUGGUGGUGGUUAAGAAGAAGUUGUUCCUGCAAUGAGUUUGUGAUUGUGCUGGUGACAGUGAAGGAAUUGCUGGUGGUUUGCCUGAGAUUUAUGCGAUGUUUGGAUAUUGUGACUGAAUGGAUACUUGACGUCUAUGUAUGAAUGUUGCUAUUGAAUUGCGAAUGCGUAACUGCAGGUGGAAGCAAGAGCUGAGAAAUUGUUGAAGAAUGAAAUGAUAAAUGAAUGUUAGGAUUGAAUGUAUGGAGGCUGAAAGAAUGUGUGUUGCUGAGUUUAUAAGAUUGUAGGGGAGAGUUUGGGUUGAGUUGAUUUGCAGGCAAGGAUUAGUUGUGCCAUGAACUGGUUGGUGGUAAUGGAGUUGCUGCUUUGUGAUAUUGAGCUAAAUUGCCAGAGAAAUGGAAGAAACGGUGGUGUUUGAUGCAGAAACUGAGAUGCUGGGUGAGAUGGGUUAACUGCAGUUAAAUAGGAUGAGUUAGGAAGGAGGGUAUUUUGGAGAAGAUUAACACCGUUUUCUGCCAAAACCGUUAUGUCGCCCAAAGUAUGAUCAUUUUGUAAGCCAUUUACAAAAGUAUGAUGAUUUUGUAACUGAAUUAUAAAAAGUAUGACUAUUUUGUAAAUGUCCCAUUUAUUUAUUUAAAUUCUAAAGUUUAUUUGGAAGAUGAUUUUAAAGUAUUAAUCUUUAUUGGUUUUA